UGCGAAGGGGGCGAGCGUUGUUCGGAUUUACUGGGCGUAAAGGGCGCGCAGGCGGUCUUGAAAGUCAGGCGUGAAAGCCCCGGGCUUAACCUGGGAAUUGCGCUUGAUACUCUGAGACUGGAGUACGGGAGAGGAGAGUGGAACUCCUAGUGUAGAGGUGGAAUUCGUAGAUAUUAGGAAGAACACCAGUGGCGAAGGCGGCUCACUGGUCCGGUACUGACGCUGAGGUGCGAAAGCGUGGGGAGCAAACAGG
rnacentral:rRNA from 1 species